CAGCCAGUACAUCCGCCCCUCACAUGGCCAGCUGAGGAAGCUGUGCACGCACACGGUCCACACCGUUUCCUCCAACCGGAGGGAACAGACAGGCCGGGAGACGUGCAGGCCGGCAGAGGCCAAGCACUGCUGGCCUCCUGAGAAGGUUUCACCUAAUGGUGGUCAACAAGCUGGAGCUGGGUGGCUCGAGGGGUGGAGCCACUACCAGGUCCUCUGAUUUCAAUGCAUUUGAAGUGUUGACUCCCUGGUCCCAAAGGAGAGUCUCCCCCCAUGAAGAGAUUAACGUCCCUAACUGGUAAGGAGGCAAUCAUCACCUCUGUUGUUUGAUCAGGGUGGCACAAAGUGGUGAAACUCCUAGUCAAUUCCAGCCUUGACACUCUCAUAUCAGACUCCCAUUACAGCUAAGCACACGCAGGGGUACAUGCAAGCAGUCCCAGUUCGGCUCUUCACUGUCAAGUAUGUAGGACACGUGUUGUGUCCCAGUUUUUGGGGGGUUUGUAUUUCUUGUUUGUUUUUUGGACGGAGGCCACUCUGGUCAAUGCAUAGCUUUCUGACCAGAGCCCUUCCAACAUGGCUGGUAGUCCACACAGACUUCAGUCUUUCAGUCACCUUCCACCUUCCCGGGGCACUUAUUAUACACAAGAGUCAGGGAACCGAAUUGAGGGGGGUUUCCUGCUGCAACCAGAGCCAGGCAGAUGCUAAGCAGGAUCUUGCAGAGUUGCCCUGGCUG
rnacentral:lncRNA from 1 species